AGCCCUUCGGGGUGGAUUAGUGGCGAACGGGUGAGUAACACGUGGGCAAUCUGCCCUUCACUCUGGGACAAGCCCUGGAAACGGGGUCUAAUACCGGAUAACACUCCUGCCUGCAUGGGCGGGGGUUAAAAGCUCCGGCGGUGAAGGAUGAGCCCGCGGCCUAUCAGCUUGUUGGUGGGGUAAUGGCCUACCAAGGCGACGACGGGUAGCCGGCCUGAGAGGGCGACCGGCCACACUGGGACUGAGACACGGCCCAGACUCCUACGGGAGGCAGCAGUGGGGAAUAUUGCACAAUGGGCGAAAGCCUGAUGCAGCGACGCCGCGUGAGGGAUGACGGCCUUCGGGUUGUAAACCUCUUUCAGCAGGGAAGAAGCGCAAGUGACGGUACCUGCAGAAGAAGCACCGGCUAACUACGUGCCAGCAGCCGCGGUAAUACGUAGGGUGCGAGCGUUGUCCGGAAUUAUUGGGCGUAAAGAGCUCGUAGGCGGCUUGUCACGUCGGAUGUGAAAGCUCGGGGCUUAACCCCGAGUCUGCAUUCGAUACGGGCUAGCUAGAGUGUGGUAGGGGAGAUCGGAAUUCCUGGUGUAGCGGUGAAAUGCGCAGAUAUCAGGAGGAACACCGGUGGCGAAGGCGGAUCUCUGGGCCAUUACUGACGCUGAGGAGCGAAAGCGUGGGGAGCGAACAGGAUUAGAUACCCUGGUAGUCCACGCCGUAAACGUUGGGAACUAGGUGUUGGCGAC
rnacentral:rRNA from 1 species